rnacentral:rRNA from 1 species
AUACGUAGGUGGCGAGCGUUGUCCGGAAUUAUUGGGCGUAAAGGGCGCGUAGGCGGGAUAGUCAGUCUGUUGUAAAAGUUCGGGGCUCAACCCCGUGAAGCAAUGGAAACUGCUAUUCUUGAGUGCAGGAGAGGAAAGUGGAAUUCCCAGUGUAGCGGUGAAAUGCGUAGAUAUUAGGAAGAACACCAGUGGCGAAGGCGACUUUCUGGACCGUAACUGACGCUGAGAUACGAAAGCGUGGGGAGC